UGUCUGCAGACAUCCACAGCAGCAUCCUGGAAAUGGCCUGGUGCCAUGGAUGAGAUCCUCCAUCACUCCACCUGCCAUUACUGCCUCAUCUGGGCCAGAUGUUUCUGUGCCCUCUUCAUCCUCAUAUCAGUCAAUGGAGGCCAACUUUCAGACGUUCCAAAAGCAUCAACAAAUAAAGUCAUGAAACUUUUA